rnacentral:snRNA from 1 species
CGCUGUGCUAUCGCUCUAGUCCUGCUGCGACAUCUGUCAUUGAUCGCCAGGGUUGGUCUGGCUGGCUAUGCGGGUGUCCCCUUCCUCCCCCACCGCUCCAUGCGCAUCCCUCCCGAAGCUGCACGCUCAGUUGAAGAGGACGGCCUUCCCCGAACGGAGACAGACAGAAGGACCAGUCUUUGGCUGAGGGUAAACGAGUAGCUGCGUUCCCCUGCUAGAACCUCCAAACAAGCUCCCCCCCGCCCAAUUCCCCAAUUGUCAUUGGGGGAUUAGAUUUAAAAAAUAAAACAAAGGGGCACCUGCUUU